GACAGAGGAGCCAAGCGUUGUUCGGAUUUACUGGGCGUAAAGGGCGCGUAGGCGGCGUGACAAGUCACUUGUGAAAUCUCCGGGCUUAACUCGGAACGGUCAAGUGAUACUGUCGGACUAGAGUACAGAAGGGGCAACUGGAAUUCUCGGUGUAGCGGUGAAAUGCGUAGAUAUCGAGAGGAACACCUGCGGCGAAGGCGGGUUGCUGGGCUGAUACUGACGCUGAGGCGCGAAAGCCAGGGGAGCGAACGGGG
rnacentral:rRNA from 1 species